rnacentral:tRNA from 1 species
GGCGUGGCUUGGUGAUAGAGUAUCAGCUUGGCAUGCGGAAGGCGCUGAGUUCAAUCCCCAGCAUCUCCA